AUGGCGACUCCGCAACCUCCAAAAUUUAAAUUCAACGAUUUUCUAGAUCAACGUAUGCAAGAUAGGUCAGGAGGAAAGGAACAGUGGAAGUCAAUAAAGAAGGUUUGGGAAGGGUUGAAGUUGAAGUGGACACAGGCAGGUUACCUAGUAGGGGGAACUCCAAAUAGGAUCCAGCUUAGCACAAUGGAAGGCGAGUUGAGUGAAGCAUUACAGGAAGCUAAAGACAAGGAGAUAGAGCAGAGCAAGUUGCAUGUAUUCAAGAAGGAAGGGACUAAACAGAGAGAGAAAGCAGAAGCUGAAUUGAAAAUAGGCACUUGGGCUAUCGAGGAGACCCGUAGAGCACAACUGAACAAAAAAACGGAAAUGAUGGGGGUAGUGGCUGGGGCGGAGGUGGAGUCAUCAAUGGAGGCGACACAGGGGAGUGACGAAAUCCAACCGGCCCCUGUAGCAGCCUCCCCCAAUCCUGAGUCAUGUAUGUACCCGAAACUACCAGAGGAGGCCACUCAACCACCACCAUAUUCAUUGACAACCCAAGCUCCCUCAGCCCCCUCCAUACAGGCACCAGUGCUCCGCAUCGAUGAAGGCCUGCUACAGGGACAGGUGUCAAUGCAGUUGACUGGAGGUUAUAUAGACUGUGGGGAGGUAGAACGAACCUCCACUCCCUGCUCUCUAGAAGGCGGAUUGGUGCCCACACCCCAGGGGGGUCGAAGCCUACAAGAAUGUGGAGAAAGGAGCCGUGACUCAGGUGAAUCAUUUAAAUUCUCCCGAGAACCCUUAAUGAACACAAGCCUACCGCAGUCAUCAAGUCAUCAGACACUCUCGUCUCGCUCUCUUAGCCCAAAGCAUUCCCUACAGUUCAGACAGCUACCAACCUCCAUCAGAUCCCCCGCAUCUCGAAGUGUGGGGACAGCCAGAUCCUACCUGAACAAAAGAACAGGGGACACUACUGCAUACAGAAGGGGACAGGAGGAUACCUAUCCUGAAAUAGAUGUCCAACGGGAAUAUAUCUGGACAUCCAAUGAGCCUGAGGAAGAGGAAGAAGAAGAACCAGAGAGAGCGACCAGAGAAGACGUAUGGGCUGCUGCCCAACAACUUGAUGCAGAAGCAAGACAGGAAACCGGAAGAGGUGGACCGUUUCAACUGAGUGGGGUCUACCUGGGAGAUGUUGUUGACCUCCAUGGACAGAUACCGUCAGAGCCGGUACUUAGGAGAUCCCGGCGCCUACAAGACAAAAAUCAACCAAGGGGUGAACAAGGACUGCAAAUGCCUCUGAGACUGAGUGGAACUGGAAAAAAACGAAGAAUACGUGCCAUGGAAGUUGCAGGAUCUCACUGCAGUGAUGGAACAACUUCCAAGUCUCCACGGAGGUGCAUCAGCUUGGCUACUACAGUUGCAGACCCUCACAUCAGGAUUCCGGAUGGCACUGGGAGACAUGAAAGCGCUGUUGGCAAGAGCCACCGAUCACACCACCAUGAAUGUAUUGAUAAAUACCGCUGGUCUGGGGUCCAAGCCAGGUGCCACUCCGCCGGAGGUGUAUCGCACUCAACUAUGGGCAGAACUCAGAAGGGCCUACCCCACCGAGAAGAAUUUUGCGGCACUCUCAUCUUUCACCAUGCAUGCAGGAGAACAGGCAGCCGAAUAUCUGGACAGGGCUAA
rnacentral:lncRNA from 1 species